rnacentral:misc_RNA from 1 species
AAGUCGUAACAAGGUAACCGUAGGUGAACCUGCGGUUGGAUCAUUAACAAAUUUAAAAUAGAAGAUCUCUUUUUAAGAGUUUCUAUCUAUCCACAUUUUGUGAACCUAUUUAUGUCUCUGGUGUGUAAUAUUGAUCAGGGUUUUUUAACAAGAACACUGUGUGUUUACACACCAAUAUAUAACCUUUAAACUUGAUGACUUAAAACUUUUAAAAGCCUAUAAGAUUAACAUAUCAAAAAUUAUAAAACAACUUUUGACAACGGAUCUCUAGGCUCUC